AAUUAGUGAGAAAACAAAGCAUUUCUUUCUUUAUGAUGAACAAGAGGGGUCUCUACAAGCCAUGGCAGUGAAGAAAGAGGUAAAGAAACUUUCAUAAGACGUUAACUCCCUUGGUGUGGCGGUGAUUUGUUCAAGAUUAGGAAAAAUAAAUAAAUCUUCAAUCUUGAUUGGAUUAGUGUUUUUACUUCUUUUCUGCUGAAAGGGUCUUUGUUAUCUUAUUUUCUUCAACGGUUUUAUAAGAUUUUCAGAAAAAUUUGUAUUACUCAGUUGGGAAAGGAUCUUUAUUUUAUUAUGAAAUUAUUUUCAACUUAUCCCCUAUAAAAGGACCACUAGAUUUAUUAGAUACAAUGAUUUGUUCUUGGUUUCACGUACCUGAUUAUCUUAUACUAGGUGAAUGGCAACACGUGAAGAGCAGGCUGUUUAAGAAAAAGGACUUGCAAAACUGGAAGAUGAAAGACAUCCCACAUGAAUUUUGGUGAGAGGAUACACUUCAGCCUGUAAGACAGAUGAAAGUAUGACUGUGACCGGGGAAGCAUGAGCUGGUGUCCUUAGUUCCAGUGUUGCAGUGGGAGUUCUCAAAGGUGACGUGGAAAACCACUUCAUGAGUCAAGGUGAUGAAACAAUGAACAUCCUUGCUGGCAGAUUCAUUACUGGUCACUACGUCUUGGAAGUAUCUUGACAAUAUUAUCUCACUGUGGCUUUGAGGAGAUGAUUUUUUGAGGGCUCUUCUUAGUCUAUGAACAUAAAUUAAAAGAAGAGGAGGAAGGAGACAAAGGGAAGAGUUGAAUGACUUAAAUGCAUGCUCAGCUUGACCACUUGCUGAACUGAUUACUAUUGUGUAUCACUAUUACGUUACUUGUCCGUCCUCAUUUCCUCUUAAGAGUUUAUUCAUAUGCACACGUCAAAUGACGGCAUGAAAUGCCCAGGGCUCUCUAACAAUGAAAUCAACUUGCUGUCUUCCUAAUUUUUAAUGAUAGACAUUUGUGGGUGUGAAUUAUGUUAUACCAUUAUUUUAGUUAUUUUAUAAUGUAAUAUAUGACUUGAACUUUAAAAAAAAAUUUUUUGGUGAGGAAGAUUGGCCCUGAGAUAACAUCUGUUGCCAAUCUUCCUCUUUUUGCUUGAGGAAGAUUGUCACUGAACUGACAUCUGUACCAGUCUUCCUGUAUUUAGUAUGCUGUGCCGCCACAGCAUGACUUGAUGAAUAGCGUGUAGGUCCGUGCCCAGAAUCCGAACCCACAAAACCCAGGGCUGCCGAAGCAGUGCACGCGACCCUAACCACUAGACAACCUAGCCAGCCUUUGCCUUGAACUUUUUAAUGCUAAUUAUGUACCUAUGCUUGUGCAGGGCUUUUAUGGCGUGAAAUAUUAAUUAUCUUUCAUUGUGGUGAACCAAUAAAAGGCCAAAAAGAUAAAAAGCA
rnacentral:lncRNA from 1 species